GACGAACGCUGGCGGCGUGCUUAACACAUGCAAGUCGAACGGAAAGGCCCGGCUUUUGUUGGGUGCUCGAUUGGCGAACGGGUGAGUAACACGUGAGUAACCUGCCCUUGUCUUUGGGAUAACUCUAGGAAACUGGGGCUCAUACCGGGUAUGAGCUCCUGCUGCAUGGUGGUGGUUGGAAAGUUUCGGCGGUUGGGGAUGGACUCGAUGCUUAUGAGCUUGUUGGUGUGGUAGGGGCGUACCAAGGUUUUGACGGGUAGCCGGCCUGAGAGGGUGACCGGCCACAUUGGGACUGAGAUACGGCCCAGACUCGUACGGGACGCAGCAGUGGGGAAUAUUGCAGAAUGGGGGGAAGCCUGAUGCAGCAACGCCGCGUGCGGGAUGCCGGGCUUCGGGUUGUAAACAGAUGUCGACUGUGCCGUAGAGUGCGUGACGGUAAUGGGUCAAGAAGCACCGGCUAACUACGUG
rnacentral:rRNA from 1 species